GAUGUUUGCACUGUGGACCUGAUCCAGCAUUCAUUAAAAUCGAUGGGACGUCUUUCACUGAUUUCAGUAAACAUUGGAUCCAAGUCUACACGAGCUGAUGAAAAUGUAAUUUAUUUGUUCAAUAUGUGUUCCACUCAAGGAUUCUCAGAAAAAAGUUGGGAGCACAUACUGUAUCCAGUAUAAGUACAAGGGCCCAAUCCUGCAAGAAGCUGAGCUACACUCAUUUCUGCUGAAGCCAAUGGCAUUCAUCACUUCACAGCAACAGGCCCAGGAUGACUUAGGAGCUGUGGGUUCAUCCUUAGUAUGACUCUUUGCUUUUUGUCAGCUUAUGACAAAUGUAUUUUACUGGACUCUUUUGUCUAAUAUAAUUUUCUUUCCUUACUGGUUUAACAAAAAAAUCAAACAAACCUUUUCAGGAGAAGGAGAAAACAGUGAAUAAGAAACUGAAAAACAAGGAAAGAAAAAAAACAAUAAAGAAUAAAGAAACACUGA